UACGGGGGGGGCAAGCGUUGUUCGGAAUUACUGGGCGUAAAGGGCGCGUAGGCGGCUUUUCAAGUCGGGCGUGAAAGCUCCGGGCUUAACCCGGAAAUGUCGCUCGAUACUGUUGAGCUAGAGUGUGGAAGAGGCUACUGGAAUUCCGUGUGUAGCGGUGAAAUGCGUAGAUAUACGGAGGAACACCAGCGGCGAAAGCGACUGCCUGGCCCAAUACUGACACUCAUGUGCGAAAGCGUGGGGAGCAAACAGG
rnacentral:rRNA from 1 species